rnacentral:rRNA from 1 species
UUGAUUAAUUACAAUUUUAUUCGCCAGGGAACUACGAGCGUCAGCUUAAAACCCAAAGGACUUGGCGGUGCCCUACACCUCCUAGAGGAGCCUGUUCUAUAAUCGAUGAUCCACGAUACACCUCACCGUUUCUUGCCAAAACCGCCUAUAUACCGCCGUCUCCAACUUACCCUAUGAAGGAUUUACAGUAAGUUCAAAGAUCACUCAUCAGAACGUCAGGUCAAGGUGUAGCGAAUGAAACGGGAAGAAAUGGGCUACAUUUUCUAUUUUAGAUCAUACGGACAAUCAGUAUGAAACCUGAUUAUGAAGGAGGAUUUAGCAGUAAAAAGAAAUCAGCAAGUUCUUUUUAAGUCGGACCUAGGGCGCGUACACACCGCCCGUCACCCUCUUCAACUCAUUUCACCCUAUUUAUAAUAAAAUAAUUGGAGAUAAGAAGAGGCAAGUCGUAACAUGGUAAGUAUACCGGAAGGUGUACUUGGAAC